rnacentral:rRNA from 1 species
UGCAAGUCGAGCGAGAACCAGUCCUUCGGGACUGGGGACAGCGGCGAACGGGUGAGUAACACGUGGGUAAUUUACCCUUGGUACUGGGAUAGCCCGGGGAAACCCGGAUUAAUACCGGAUGGCCCAGCAGCUCUUCGGGGCGGCUGGAAAAGGUAGCUUCGGCCUCCGACCAAGGAUGAGCCCGCGGCGGAUUAGCUUGUCGGCGGGGUAACGGCCCACCAAGGCGACGAUCCGUAGCUGGUCUGAGAGGACGAUCAGCCACACUGGGACUGAGACACGGCCCAGACUCCUACGGGAGGCAGCAGUGGGGAAUCUUGCGCAAUGGGCGAAAGCCUGACGCAGCGACGCCGCGUGGGGGAAGGAGGCUUUCGGGUUGUAAACCCCUUUCAGGAAGGACGAAGCUACUCGGGUUAAUAGCCCAGAGGGUGACGGUACUUCCAGAAGAAGCCCCGGCUAACUACGUGCCAGCAGCCGCGGUAAUACGUAGGGGGCAAGCGUUGUCCGGAUUUAUUGGGCGUAAAGAGCGUGUAGGCGGCCAAGCAGGUCCGUUGUGAAAACUCGAGGCUCAACCUCGAGACGCCGAUGGAAACCGUUUGGCUAGAGUCCGGAAGAGGAGAGUGGAAUUCCUGGUGUAGCGGUGAAAUGCGCAGAUAUCAGGAAGAACACCCGUGGCUAAGGCGGCUCUCUAGUACGGUACUGACGCUGAGACGCGAAAGCGUGGGGAGCGAACAGGAUUAGAUACCCUGGUAGUCCACGCCGUAAACGAUGGGUGCUAGGUGUGGGGGGUGUCGACUCCCUCCGUGCCGAAGCUAACGCAUUAAGCGCCCCGCCUGGGGAGUACGGCCGCAAGGCUAAACUCAAAGGAAUUGACGGGGGCCCGCACAAGCAGCGGAGCAUGUGUUAUUCGAUGCAUCGCGAGACGUACUAG